GGGAAUUUUCAUGGGCUCGUCAGUCAUCCCACACUUUACCCACAACACUGUUUCUGACUUGAGAACAGAGCUACUAAACAUGCCACUGGCUGCCGCAAAGGAGAUGGGAGAGAAAGGGGAGAGCCGGCCUUACAUGCUCACUUGGGUGUCUAGACACAGCUAAGUGGAGCUCAAGAAAGCUGUCUAGCUGCGAACAGAGAGAGGUGGUGGCUUCAUGUGAUGUAACUAGAUGAAAUAGCUGAGGGUGAGAGUAUAAACGGAGGGAGAAGGAGAGGAAGCACUCAGGACACGGAAACAGAGCAGGUUAAAAAAAAGAGAGGGGGCUGGUGAGAAGGAGACGAUGGAGACCUAAGAAAACCAGGAACGCGAGUGGUGUCAGAAUUUAAGAGAAGUGUUGGGAGUUUUUUCACCGAGAAGAAAAAGUCAAGUCAAGAGAAUCGAUUCUGCCUAGAAAAUGUACAUUGGCUCUACAAAUGGGCAUUUGGUCCUGCGGUGACAGUGGUAGAUGGACAAGCUGGAAAGCAGUGUGUGUUCAGGAAUGAAUGGAAGGGAGGAAGUGGAAAUUUGUUAGAGACGCACAUUUUCAGGCUCCACCUCAGACUUACUGAAUCCCUGGAGUGGGGCCCAGCGAUCUGUUUUAACAAGCACUCCCGGUGAUUCUGAUGCAUGAAAACCACUGCUGGAUGCAUAGCAUCCCCAGCAUGGGCUGGCACUCCAACAGGGGAGCUGAAGGCCUCAAGGGCUCUCUGGUUUUGCAGAGCCAGGGGAGGCUUCAAAGACGGAAAUGUUUUCCUGGCUUCUGACGUGAGCAAACCAAGCUGUCCCUGGGCUGUACUCCAUGCCUCUCAGAAGGUCAUCGCUGAAGAGGAUCACAGCCUGUCUUUAUCUCUGCAACAAUUACAGCCUGAAUAGCCAGUCAGGCAUCUUAUUGUUUCCCCAGGGACGACAUGAUUGGAAUUCAGCCCAUCUCUUUGUAGUACUCCCCCAUGCUGAAUUAAUGAGGGGGAAGACCAGGGAAUUGUGUGCCAGAUAAUGAAAGCUGUGGACUUGGGAUUUUACAAACACCCAGAAACUCUCUUUUGGUCGGGAGGCAGCUGAGCUGUGAAGGGCUGAAAUCUGGGAUUCUCUCUGAUCUGGCUGUCGGGAAUGGGGUAGGGGUGGGUUAUAAAUUCCUGGGCAUCACCAUGUUAAAACCCUCUUAUACGAAGCAGGCCAGUGCCACAGGAGGGGAUGAAGGCUUUCUGAAGACCAUCUCUGAGUGGUGGCUGAGCCAAAAUAUCAUAUCACAACUGUGGAUUUUAGCCAAAAAAUGAUUAGUUUCAUAUAGAGAGCAAUUCUGAACAGGGACACAAGGAUCAAAAACAUAGACUUCUUAUUCUUCAGGAACUUGCAAGGAAGGAUAUUAAACAUAGGCACAUGUGAUUAUUACCCAUGGUGGGCUGUGACAACCACUAUUUUGAAGGUGCCAACACAGUGCGAUAGAGGCUUAGGUUAUUGCUAUGGUUUGAAUGUGUGUGUCGCCUAAAAUUCAUAUGCUAGAGCCUAAUCCCCAAGGUGAUAGUAAUAGUAGAAGAGGCCUUUGGGAGAUAAUUAAGUCAUGAGAGUGGAGCCCUUAUGAAUGGGGUUAGUGCCCUUAUAAAAGAGAUUCCACAGAGCUCCCUAGCCCCUUCCAUCAUGUGAGGAUAUAAUGAGACAUCUGCAACCCAGAAGAAGGCCCUCACCCAAACGUGCUGGCACCCAGAUUUUGAACUUCCAGCCUAUAAGAAAUAAAUUUCUGUUGUUUAUAAGCUA